AUAUAACCAAAAACACUGCGAUUUGAUGUAAUAAGUGACUGUGUAAAUUU
rnacentral:misc_RNA from 1 species